GGAAUUUCAAACCUCUCAGCUAUUGAGAGUCAGUGCUCAUAGCUUGGUAUUAAUACUCAUCCACUCCAGGCCUAGCUAUUCAAAACAGCCUGGCCUCAGAGAUCCACUUUUCCUAUGUGAUAGUUGCACACAGGGUGAGCUUGAUCUGUCUUUUGCUCUUCCAGAUCCAGACCUAUUUCCUGACUCUGCAUAAGGAUGUAUGCAUGAACCUACAAGAGAGCCCUGGGACAGUCACAGUGGUGUAAGAAUUUUGGAAGACAGAAGCAGAGCCCAGGAUAACCCUACCCUACCUGAAGAAAAAGAGAAAACCCCCUUAGGUAAGAAUAUAUAGCUACACAUGCA
rnacentral:lncRNA from 1 species